rnacentral:rRNA from 1 species
CCUACGGGUGACAGCAGUAGGGAAUAUUGCUCAAUGGGGGAAACCCUGAAGCAGCAACGCCGCGUGGAGGAUGAAGGUUUUCGGAUUGUAAACUCCUUUUGUUAGAGAAGAUAAUGACGGUAUCUAACGAAUAAGCACCGGCUAACUCCGUGCCAGCAGCCGCGGUAAUACGGAGGGUGCAAGCGUUACUCGGAAUCACUGGGCGUAAAGGGCGCGUAGGCGGGAUAGCAAGUCAGAUGUGAAAUCCUAUGGCUUAACCAUAGAACUGCAUUUGAAACUGUUAUUCUAGAGUAUGGGAGAGGUAGGUGGAAUUCGUGGUGUAGGGGUAAAAUCCGUAGAGAUCAAGAAGAAUACUCAUAGCGAAGGCGGCCUGCUAGAACAUGACUGACGCUGAUGCGCGAAAGCGUGGGGAGCAAACAGGAUUAGAUACCCCAGUAGUC